rnacentral:lncRNA from 1 species
AAGGGGGAAAAUUAUCAUAAUUGAUCAAUACAUCAAAAAGGCUGAAAAUAGGUACAAUGUACAAUACUUGUGAUCUUCCUCUUUUGAAAAAAAAAAGGAUAGAAUGGAAAUGUCUUCUCAUAUCUUUUCUUUCAAGAUAUGCUUGUUCUUUAUAGUUUUGCGAGAUUCAUUUUUGAUUUUAUUUUGUGGUUGCCCUUUACAUUUACAUUGUUAUAGUUAUUAUGUAUAUUCUUUUCCAUGUCUUAUGCUCAGGAAAUGUGGCCAGCUGAAGAAAUCAGCUACAAAAGGGGAACUUGGAGGGAGAUGCUGGGGAGCCAGAGCUCAGACACAAGGAGAUGGGGUCUCAGGCCCAUCUGCUCUGCUCCUCAUCCCAGGGGAAGGAGGAAGAUCAGAGACUGCUUGGAGUUUUCAUAUGGAACACCAUGAAAGCACUGGAGUCUGGCCAACACUCCCUGGAGUCCGGUCCUUCCAGCUGUGCGGGUGACAAGGCAGCCAUGCAUGUCCAUGCUCUGAUACCACUUUUGUCAUGUCCUUCCGAGGCUCACUGCAAGGGCUCCACCCAAAUGAAUGGGGCCCUUCUUCACUCUGCUGGACAUCCCCAGGACACAGUCUUAGAGACGCUAGGAUACAACAGGACGGGGGGAUCCUCUGCCUUCCACAUUCUUUUAGCUUCCAUUUUGGAUAAGAGGCUUUCUUCUGCCACUUUUUAAUAAUUCCUUGCUGUUGUUCUUCCCUGCCGUAUGCCUCUCCAUUGACGUCUCUAAGCACCACUAGGAAAACAAGACCUUAUAAGGACUGCAAUAAUGUAAAUGAAAACAAAAACAUCAAAACAAAACUGUAUGUUUAAUCACUGAAAGGACCACACUUGGACCUUUCUCCCUUUAUGUUAUAUUGUGGGGAUAUUCUGGUGGAUUUUACCGAACUGUUCCCCUCUGCCUUUUAUUUCUUAGUAUCUGUUAUACUCCCCCGAGUUGAGGAGCAAGCAGAGGUAUAUUUAUAAAUUCAUGUAAAAAGAAAAUAUAUAAAAAGUUUAAAAAAUAAAAAUAAAGUAGUCAUAAUAUAAAAUUUAUGG